CUGACAACGCUGGUCUCCCGCUUUCUGGGUUUCGGUCCACACUCGCCCGGGGGUCAGAUCCCACCGCCUCACCAGUUUGGAGGCUGCGUCACUCCCCACCCCUGCCAAGCGCCUCGGAGGAAGUUGUGCGGGUUCUUCUCUCUACUCCUGCAAAAAGAAACCCAUGGGGAGAUCUAGUAGGACUAUUCCUGUCUUUCCUAAAACUCAUUCCUGAAGAAGAAAGCAGGAGCCGCCUCUCAGAAGCAAAGCUUUAAAUCAGAGAUUUCCAAGCAUUACUCUAGAACUCAGAAACAGGGAUGAAGUUUUCAUCAUGCAUUAAGAGAAAAUAAGGUCAUGCGGUCUCCAACUGCUCCUGCUGUCUGUUUGCUUCUUCUGGCUGUCCUAUCAGAGCAACUGUUCUGAAUUCCUGGGAGAA